CACUAACCUUCGGAAGUGUUGAGUUCAAUUAUUUCCAAAUGGUGUUUGUAGUUGGCAUUAUUGUUUUGGAAAUGGUAGUAGAAUAACUUUCACGUGUUUGAACGAUAAGCUUUUGGGGAAUAAACAGAAUAUAAUUUGGUAACUUCUUUUAGUUGAAUUAAAACUUGGCCUGGGUUGUUAAAUUUCUCCAUGUAGAUACAUGGAUUUUGUGUUUUUGCAAGCUCUUUUUGUUUUGUUCAUAAUUGUUCUAGAACUUAUCACUCCUACUGUUUCAUUUCUUGCUGAGGAAGGAGAUGAUAACUACACUUUUUUCACGGUAGUUUAGUAAUGUAGUCUAUUACUUGAAAAAUAUGAAUGUUUCUUUCUCUUUUGAAAGUCCUUGUUAAUGCAGGAUGCAAGCAAAUUUUUAAAUAGUAGCUGUAGGGGUAAACUUCCAGUGGGUAAACUUCAAGGGGGUAAAUUUAGUGUGAAUAGUGGAAAUAAUCGUGAGGCAACUGGUACAGUUGAUGGGCUUUGCUUGACACACUAUAUGUACACACCUCGCAUUCCACAUGUCACUAGUGGAAUGUUAGACGGUCACCUCGUUUCCUUGCAUGAAGUUGAUGAGAUCAAGUUGAUGGAAUGGUAUGCACAGUCGUGCGAACUUAGAAGUCAUCAUAUUUUAAGUGCUGAUGUCAAAGUAAGGGACGAAAAGGGUCGUGUGUUCUUGUUGACAACUUGAGUAGACGGUUGGUUAAAAUCAUGGGUUAAGUGUAACCCAUGUUUUAAUGCAAGAUAUCCCUAUUUUCCAUUUUCGAACUUGUUACUGUUUGUGAGGUAAAUUUCGAGAAUUAACAUACUUAGGAUAAGGCUUUCUUUGUUGUUGUUGUUGCAUCUUAUAUUGUUGUAUCAUGUUAGGGAUAUCUUGUACGGUGAUGUCCAGCUGCAGACAAAGAGUGAUCAUUUAAAUAUUAAUCUUGACACGAUUUUUUUAGUGUCUUUUGGCGGGCAAUAUAGAGCUAUGUUCUUGCAUAUGCUAGUAGCUACAAGUCGGGAGGCUAAAUUGGAUUCCCAAGCAUUUGCUCUAUAUCGCCCGCCAAAAGACACUAAAAAAAUCAGGUCUAGAUUGAUAUUAGAAUGAUUCCUCUUUGUCUACAGCUAGACAUCCCUCAUACCACACAAGAUAUCUCUAACAUGAUACAACAACAUAACAUCAUACAACAACAAUAAAAAAGAAAGCAUCAUCCUAAGUAUGUCAAGUCUCGAAAUUUACCUCACUAACAAUAACAAGUUCGGAAAUGGAAGAUGGGGAUAUCUUGCAUUAAAACAUGGGUUACACUUAACCCAUGAUUUUAACCAACCGUCUGCUCGGGUUGUCAACAAGAACACGCGACCCUUUUCGUCCUUUACUUUGACAUCAGCACUUCAAAUAUGAUGAUUUCUGAGUUCGCACGACUGUGCAUACCAUUCCAUCGACUUGCUCUCAUCAACUUCAUGCAAGGAAACGGGGUGACCGUCUAACAUUCCACUAGUGACAUGUGGAAUGCGAAGUGUGUACAUAUAGUGUGUCAAGCAAAGCCCAUCAACUGUACCAGUUGCCUCACGAUUAUUUCCACCAUGCACACUAAAUUUAUCCCCUUCAAGUUUACCCUGCAGCUAUUGUUUAAAAAUUUGGUGUAAAACCUUGCUUGCAUUAACAAGUACUUUCAGAAGAGAAGAAAAUUCAUAUUUUUCAAGUAAUAGACUACAUUCCUAAACCAUCGUGAAAAAAAGUGUCUAGUUAUCAUCCCCCUCAGCAAGAAAUGAAACAGGAGUGAUAAGUUCUAGAACUAUUAUGAACAAAAUCCAUGUAUCUACAGGGAGAAAUUUAACAACUAGCCAAGUUUUAAUUUCAAGUAAAAGAACUUAGCAAAUUAUGUUUAUUUCCCCAAAAGCUUAUUGUUCAAACACGUGAAAGUGAAGGCAAGGAAGAAUUGUGGGGUUUUGAUACGAGAGACGAUGAUUGCGAUUGGCAAUCGCUAUAACCCCCAAUCCCAGGUCUUCUUCAUCAUCACCCUACGGUCCAAACCCUAGCUCCCCAAAUUCAAUGCCAACAACCGGCAGCAUUUGCCAUUCCUUCCUCCAACGCAUCCGCCUCACUCCCAGCCAGGGUCUCGGCCUUAUCAAAACUUCUGUUUCUGAGUCCCCAAGACAUGAUCAUGUUGACCCGAAAAGAAGGAAUAUAAGAGAGCAAUUAAACAAGUUAAAGAGGCAGAGUACAUGAGUGCAACUGAGGCAACUACUCAAGCUGUGUGGCUGAGGUUUGUACUUCAAGAUUUUGUGAAAAACAAACUGAAGCUACCCCUCUACUGUGAUAAUACAUAUGCCAUUGCUAUGACAAGAAAUCUUGUGUUUCAUCAAAGAACCAAACACAUUGGGAGAAGAUAUCAUUACAUUCGUGAGGCUUUGCAAUCAAACAUUAUCAAUCUAAUCUACUGUAAAUCAGAAGAAGAUCAACUUGCUGAUAUUUCACCAAGGCUCUGCCAAAAGAUAGAUUAUGCACACUCAGAGAGAAGCUUGGAGUUAAGCCAGCUACCAGCUUAGAAGGGAGUGUUGGUGGAUAAGCAUGGGAGUUGGAUCACAGAUGCAUUGCAGUUGAAGAAUGGAAGAAAGAAAUGGAGUUCGAAAGGUUCUAAGUGUUAGAAUAGCUGAAGUUCAAAUAAUGUAAUGAACGGCCAGGAUUAUAUCAUUUCUAGGAUGUAUAUUCUGCCACAUGUCUACUUUGUUAGAAGUUAAAUGAAAACAUGUGUUGUGCACGUGAUAAAUUGAUAAUAGUCACGCUGCAAGUGUGUGAGUGUGGGUAUGCAACAGCUAUAAAUCCCACCAUGUAGAUUCGAGCUAUGAAAGUAGCUCAAAGUUCAUCUCUCUAAAGUUCAUCUCUGAUAUUCAAUCUUUGAAUUCAUUUCAA